UCCCCAGACUGGCAGCCACGCCGCUGCUUUCUGGAGACCCCGAGGCCUGGAGAGCCAAGCGGUGGAGGCCUGGUGGCCCCAGACCCCGGCCUCACCCUCCUGCCCUUACAUGUCAGCACUUGGAGGCCACGGCCUCUCAUGCCGCCUCCCUACUGCACCGUGUGGUUAACGACAACAGUCAAACCACUGACCUGAUUUUCUGCAAAAAAGAAAAGAUAAUAGGGCACUUCCACGUGGGUGGUGGUGCGCUCACGCUCACACUCGCACACACACAAUGGAAACUUUCUCUGUCUCCUUCACAGGAACCCAACCCUGAGAGAGAAAGGGAGAGACUGAAGUCUGUGUACCCAGAGCUUCCUGGAGUACAAAGCUCAGUGUUUACCUGCGGUGAGAGGCCUAAGUUCCCAGACCCCUCCUGCGCGAGCAUGGCAGGAAAGGGGAUGGAGUAUGACAGAAGAGUAGAAGGAAAGAACAUUCCACAGGCUGAGGGAAUAAAAGAUCAGAAAACAUCAAGGUCGACAGAAACUGUAGGUAUCAUGGCCAACGCACUGGCUUACCCCAGGAGGAAACAGGCCCAAAGAAAAGGGCUGGCUCAAGAGAGAGACAGCCAGCGAGAGAGGGAACACAAGCAGGGGGAGUGGGAG